UUUAUUGAUACACCUAAUUCAACAUUAAGCUUGUGAACUGGACCAUAUCUGUUCUUCUUGUUUUUCAAGUCUGACAUGUUUCAGUCCAAGGCUAAGAGAAACGUUUUGCUAACAAUUUUGAUUGCGACAUGUACUAAAAUAUGGACAUUUAAGUACGGAGUAGGUGUAUUUUGCAAAGAAAGAUUUUGAUAUAUGCAGUAGCAGUCUGCAGUUGUUAUAUCGUUUGGUAUGUUAUAUAUAGGUAAGCAAAGUCAAAUCAAGAAACAUGCUGCUCUCUUUGCCGCUGAAGUUUAGUGCUCAAUUCAAACUGUUAACAUCUCCUCUUAGAAGACAAUGUCACGUUGACUUUCAUAAUAGAUUUUUAUGUGUUCAUGGCCUUGUUUUUCCUUUUCAAUCAGUCUGAUAGUUACUCUCUGAAAUUCGAAGUUAUGAAGUAGUAUUAGAUUGACAUAUGAGGCAGUAUGUUAUUUGUGAAUCUUGUGGUGCCUGUUAAAUCAGCGGAUCUGUUCAUAACAGGUCCAUCUGACCAUUGAGGAGCAGGUCUGUGUUUGCUAAUAUGUGUUUCACUUGUAUUAUUUGAUUUGGUGAUCUUCAAUGAUCAGUCUGGUAUGUUUUUGUAUGAGCAUCCCAUUGCCCGUUCUCUUCAUUUUUCUUGCAUGGCUCUUGGCCUGGGAGUUGCUGAUCUGAGCUUCUUGUGUACAGUGUGAGGAGCCAACAAUUGUGGUGGGGGUCCCCAAGAAUCCUGAUCCCUGUGCAGCAACUCCAGCCUGCGUCUGUAUCACAUGCCAAGCCUCUGCGACCCGCUCUGGAGCAUCAAGCGGUCAGAGGUCAGAACUCGGAGCGACUGGGUCGGUGAAAAGCUCUUGGUUGACCCAAGGAUGUGAUGUGGGUAGAGAGAGACUGGGACACUACAGACCGGAGGAACAGCACAAAAGGUGGAGCAUGGAGAGAAGCUAGCUAGGUAGCGUCAAAUCCUUUGAUUCAGAGCCUUUUCGCCUCCAGCGAGACAAGGGCAUCUCUGCUCAUAUCGAGCCACUCAGCCAGGCCAAGGCUUGAAACGCUUUCUUCAUCUCACGUCAGAACAUGGGUGACAACACUGUUCUUGACUCUGAAACUCCCUGGAACAGAAAAGGGUAAGAUUGACGGCUGACGAUCGGUACGUGUGUGCUCCCUCAGCAUCAGGCAACACUCGACGGCUGGCUUGUGUGAUCGCGCGUGUUGCCGCGUAGACGCAAGUCUCCGGCUGACAUGAGCAGCAGCCAGCGAUCGGUUCAAAGUCCUCGUAGGAGGACCAUCUCUUCUGCAUCAGCCGGAGAAUUGUUUAUGGAAUAACAGAACGAGAAGGCUGGCUAUGGCUAGCAUCUCGAGAUCGCCGGUGCCAAGAUGUGCCAUACGCACGCACUGACUGACUGAAUUCUUCAGAGAAUUGACCCCGUUCUGGACUUCUGAUCGACCCUGAUCGCUCCGUGCCAAGCUCUAAUAAUUGGGCCCAGGUCCAAAGAACGAAUGUAAUGACCGUUCCUCCAUGUCAGUAAAGCCUCCUGUUUUGAGAUGUUAAAAAAAAUGGAAAUCGAAUUUGGACCAUGGCAUGGCCAGCGAUGGGGGAUCGAUAUGAAUGAUACUGAGGUUGCGUCCACGUAUCAUGGGGGUGCGUCCAUUCUACCAGCAGACUGAUGGUUUCGGGAGGCGUACGUGCCUCGAGAGCGGCAAAUAACAGGAGCAUUUCUUCUCAUCCUGCCAGAAUCUCUCUGAGGCGCGGUUCUCAAAUUUGGACCAUGGCAUGGCCAGCCAGAGAGCCACGCGGGAGGGAGGGGCGGUUCUUGUCCUCACCCGAGCUCCAUCAGUCAAGCUCAAGUACCCGCACCGUUUUACAUGUGGCCUUCUUCAGUUCUUCCUCUCCGUGACGUCGCUGCCUUUUUUACUUCUCCUUGUGUCAUGCUGACUUACGUUGCAAAGUCAGAAGGAGCGGUCGUCUAGCAAUUCAUUUCGCAAUUAUCUUGCCCGCGUCCUCGCCCGAACGAUCGGGGUGCAUACCUGCUGUAUUAAUUCUCAAGAUACCGUCUUCUAUUGCUACGUGGACCUCUAAUAAUUUGGAAAGGUAUGAAAUGAAAUUGAUAAA